rnacentral:rRNA from 1 species
UACGUAGGUGGCAAGCGUUGUCCGGAUUUACUGGGCGUAAAGAGCGCGCAGGCGGUCGUACAAGUCGCGUGUGAAAGCCCCCGGCUCAACUGGGGAGGGUCACGCGAUACUGCUCGACUUGAAGGCAGGAGAGGGAAGUGGAAUUCCCGGUGUAGUGGUGAAAUGCGUAGAUAUCGGGAGGAACACCAGUGGCGAAGGCGACUUCCUGGCCUGUUCUUGACGCUGAGGCGCGAAAGCUAGGGUAGCAAACGGG